GCCCGGGUGGCGAAACUGGCAGACGCACGGGACUUAAAAUCCCGAGUCUCGAAAGAGACGUACCGGUUCGAUUCCGGUCCCGGGCACCA
rnacentral:tRNA from 1 species